AUUGAACGCUGGCGGCAGGCCUAACACAUGCAAGUCGAGCGGAUGAAGGGAGCUUGCUCCUGGAUUCAGCGGCGGACGGGUGAGUAAUGCCUAGGAAUCUGCCUGGUAGUGGGGGAUAACGUCCGGAAACGGGCGCUAAUACCGCAUACGUCCUGAGGGAGAAAGUGGGGGAUCUUCGGACCUCACGCUAUCGGAUGAGCCUAGGUCGGAUUAGCUAGUUGGUGGGGUAAAGGCCUACCAAGGCGACGAUCCGUAACUGGUCUGAGAGGAUGAUCAGUCACACUGGAACUGAGACACGGUCCAGACUCCUACGGGAGGCAGCAGUGGGAAUAUUGGACAAAGGGCGAAAGCCUGAUCCAGCCAUGCCGCGUGUGUGAAGAAGGUCUUCGGAUUGUAAAGCACUUUAAGUUGGGAGGAAGGGCAGUAAGUUAAUACCUUGCUGUUUUGACGUUACCAACAGAAUAAGCACCGGCUAACUUCGUG
rnacentral:rRNA from 1 species